UACGAAGGGGGCUAGCGUUGCUCGGAAUGACUGGGCGUAAAGGGCGCGUAGGCGGUUUGUACAGUCAGGUGUGAAAUUCCCGGGCUCAACCUGGGGGCUGCACUUGAUACGUAUGGACUGGAGUGGGGAAGAGGGUCGUGGAAUUCCCAGUGUAGAGGUGAAAUUCGUAGAUAUUCGCAAGAACACCGGUGGCGAAGGCGGCCAACUGGACCAUUACUGACGCUGAGGCGCGAAAGCGUGGGGAGCAAACAGG
rnacentral:rRNA from 1 species